GAAGAUAAGGAGAACAUUUAGAUAAUCAGCUUAGGAAGUCCAACACUGGAAACUAGGAAUUCCAGAAAGAGACAAAAGAUAAAAUCAGGGGAAAAUACAAGGAAGUUUCCCCAAAUGGGAAGGUAUGGACAUCACGAUUAAAGGGUCCCACUAAGAGCUCAGUUCUCUGAAUCACAAAGAACAGACACUAUUACAUAAUUUCAAAAGAAUAAUGAUAAAGAGGAGAUCCUAAAAUUUUCUGUAGAGAAAAGUUAUUUACAAAGGAUCAGUCAUCUGACUUACAUACGACUUUCUAUAUCCUCAUUGGAGGCUAGAAGACAUUGGAACAUUGCCCUCAUAAUUCUGAAUCGAAUUCUUUUUAUUCUAGAAUGUCCUGCCCAAGCAAAUUACUAAGCAAGUAUGAGGGCAGACUAAAGGCAUGCAAGCAUUUCCAGCAUACAAGCUCUCAAAAAUAUUACUCUUUCUCAGGAAGCAACUGUGGUAUGUACUUUAUGAAAUUUAAGGUUACUCAAAAAACGGGUGAUAUAGGAACCAGGAAAAUGGGAUAUAAUAUAGGAGAACAGUAGAUGAAACUUUAAGAGAACAAACAGCCCUGCAUGGAGCCAGAAGCUGGACGACUGAAGAAUAGAUGCCUUUAGUUAAAAAACAAAUAAUCCAAUAACUAAGAAAAAUAAGACAAGAGAAAAGACAGAGAAAUAAUCAAUAGCUAAUUGAGCUCAACUGAUAAAUGUUUGAGCAUUUUGGAAGAAUUACUGUUAGGCAUUUGACAAGUCAAUUAGAACAUCGGGGAAAAUAGGAAUAGGUACGCAGAAAAAAAAUGAACUUAUAAAAUGAAGAAAUUAUUACUUCCAGGAAAAACAAAAUAUCGCAUAAGAGGGAAAAAACGUCACAGCCUUCCAAUGUCCCAAAUGUAGCAUUAUGGUCAUGCUGCUAUACCAUGUAGUCAUUAUACUAUAAACACUGAGUUUUCACAAAAAAUUGCACUAUAACUGUUAGAGCAAAGAGGACAUUAUGGUGGGUGUUGGAGAGAGACAUAAAGAAGGUAAGGUCUGCAUGCAAAAUUGGAAAGUAUAUAAUGUCAAAAGUCAAGAAAGUAAUAGCAGUUUAAAUGCACGUAUGUAAAUCUCAAGAGAAAGAAGGCUUACAAGUUGUAUCUCAGGAGUGAAACCACAGCAGGAAGGUAUAAAGAUAGAAGAAACAAUUAUCCACAUUAUCAUACAUUAUAGUAAUUAUUGUUUAAUAUGUAGGCAUAUUUUCUUUUUUUUGGAGGGGCAAUAGAGGUGGGGUGGUGUAUUUUAAAAUUUCUCUUAUUGGUUUGUUAAAAAAUGAUGGUGCUUUUUAAAAAGUAAUUUAACAACGCAGAAAUGUACAAAGCAGUAAAUUAAAAAAGCCACUUAAAAAGCCUAACCAUCCCCAAAUUACUGCCACUAACAUUAGGUGAACAUAAUUCCAGAUUUUAUUGUAUGGCUAUAAAAGAUAAAGAGGAAGACAGUAACUAGGUAGAUGUAGAUAGAUAGAUAGAUGGAUAGAUAGAAAGAUAGAUGGAUAGAUAGUGUUGCUUUUUGUUAAAAUGGGAUUAUGUAUGAUACUAUUUUUAAUAACAAAUUAUUACAUUUAAUUUUACUUUAAUAAUAAAAAGAGACACUAAAGCAAGACUAAAGGAGUUGUUGAUUUUCAAAUAAACGGUUUCUUACUAUAAGCUUUAGAACUCCCUAAGCUUGAAGGGGUGGGGGAGUGGAUAUAAAAAACAAUGAGUUGGAGUCAUUAAUGUUUUUAUUAUAUAUUUCAGUAUUAGACAAUAUCAGUAGACUCUUGCUUAGAAAUAUGAGAGUAUCUCCCUUCCCCACACUUUCCAAUUAUCUUUAUACUAAUUUUACAUUGUUCUGAUUAAUAACAUCCACAUUUUGUUCUAUAGCAAUAAUUCUCUCAGUUGUUUAGCCUUUAAUUCUAUAUUUAAAUAGAUUCAAACAUCAUCAGUCCUUUUUAUCACGGCUUCUCAGUUUCCAAGUUCUUUAUUUUGAUUUAUCUCUUAAUUAGCUAGAAUUCAUUGUUAAGCAUUUUUUUCAAGAAGGAUUCAAAAAUGCCAUUUUCCAUAGGUUCUUUCAUGUUUUUGAAUGUCUGCCUCUUGCAUAUUUUUCUAUUGAUAACUUAGCUUUCUUUCACUCCUGUAGAAAGAACUCCAUCAUCAUCUGUCUUUGAAUGCUGCCAUGAAGACAUCGGAGGUCUAACUCCUUUUUAAGCCAUAGUAGGUGAUUUGCUCCACCUACCUGUAUAACUAAGUUUUUUUUUUUUUUUUUUUUUUUUUUUUUUUUUGAUUCUUGAAGUUCAAUAUCUUAAUUAGGUAAUGUAUCCAUGUUGAGAAUCCCAUAUCAAAAUUCCUGGAACACUCAAUCCAAAUGUUCAUUUUUUUCCUUACAAAAGAAAUAAUUAUGUACUCUAUUCAUUAAUUCAACAAAUAUUUAUUAAACUUCUAUGUACCAGGCACUAAGCUGUUGGCUGUAUCUCCAAACAAACCAGACCAAAAGACAUCAAGGAUUUUGCUGGGGGCAGGACCAGAUGAGGGCAAAGGAGUAAAUAGGAAACAUAAUAAAGAAGUAAAUUAUCUAGUAACAUAGUGUGACAGACGUGACAAGUGCUAUAGGAAAAAAAGGAAAAGUGGAGCAAUGUAAGGGAGAUCGGGAAUGGGAGUGGGGAAGUGGGAAGUGAAUUUCAGUUCAACAAGACAGGCAUGGAAGGCCUCUUUUAGAAGAUGGUAUCUAAGCAAUGAAUGGAAGGAAUGAGCUCUGUGGAUCAUUAGGGGAAAAGUGUUAGAGCCAAAGGGAACAGCCAAUGCAAAGGCCGAUGGUGAGAGCACACCAGGAAUGUUUGAGAAAAAGUAAGGUAAGGAAACCAGUGCAGAGGGAGGAAAACAAAGUGUAUGCUAAGAUCGAGGAAGUAAAGGAAAGCUAGAUAGUCACAGUUUUGCAGUCCACCAAAAGGCUUUUACUCUGUGUUUCAUAGUUUUACCCAAGGAAAGUGCUCUACAUGGCAAAAGGAUUUCUUUGGCUAAUCUGCUGAGAGCACAGUGUAGGUAGACAAGAGUAAGACGAAGACCAAUUGGAAAGCUAUUGGAAUAAUGCAGAUAAAAGAUUUUGAUGAUGUAGUUGUGCUUUUUCUUGGGUAUUAGGGGAAAAACUCUGUGAAAAAAAGUUUAAAACUCAUCUAAACGCAGAAGCAUAUUUAUUUUUUCAAAUUAGGUGUAUGUAUUCUUUUGCUAAAAAAUAUUUUUUUUAAUAAUUUUUAAUGAGUUCCUGCUGUGGGACAGUGCGUUAAGAAUCUGACUGCGGUGGCAUGGGUCACUGCAGAGACACGGGUUUGAUCUAGCCCAGCACAGAAUCCAGCAUUGUCACAGCUACAAUAUAGGUCAUAGCUAAGGCUUGGAGUCAAUCCCUGGCCCAGGAACUUCAAAAGAGCACAGGUGCAGCCAUAAAAUAAUAAUAGUAAUAAUUUUUUAAAAGAUAGAUGAAGCUUGUUUUAUGUUGGAAGACUUCCAGUGAAAUAAAUUAGAUAACUUGCAUCAGUCAGACACCAAAAUCUCAAAAAAAACAUAAAGAUAAAUUUAAUGCCUCAAAGUAUAUAGCCAUUCACUAAGGGCAGAGAAUAUUAGAAGAUAAUUCUUCUUUCUCUUUCCUUUUAUUAUUAAUGGGAAUCUUCUCUAUAUGAUUUUAUCAUCUCCAAUCAAGUGUCAGCUAUCUUUUCCUCAUACUAAAGGCCUUUUCAAAUCUUUCAGACUUCUUAGGCAAAUGCCAUUGGGGUUAAAGACAUUUUCUUACAUCUGGUUUGACCAUUAUGUGCAGAGCUUCCCAUAUAUUUAUCAUGAUUUGAUCAAAUAUUUCUAAUCUGGUUGGCUUGAAAGAUAGUGUGACAUAGGAAUUUCCCUACUGUCUUCCUUACUAAGAUCACAGCUACCUUCUCUGUCUUGUGCUCAUUAAGGACCCAUGGCAUGGAGCUGGCUUCCUAUCUUUCUAGGCCAGUGGAUAGAAAUCCAC
rnacentral:lncRNA from 1 species